GUUCUUGUAGAUCAGUAGUUAGAUCGUUUGUCUUACACACAAAAGGUCGCAGGCCCGAAACCUGCCACGAACA
rfam:Sphaerobolus stellatus SS14 unplaced genomic scaffold SPHSTscaffold_77, whole genome shotgun sequence.